CAAUAGCGUAUAUUAAAGUUGUUGCAGUUAAAAAGCUCGUAGUUGGAUUUCUGGUGGGAGCGAUCGGUCUGGCGCUUAGCGCGAGUACUUGCAUCGUCUCCGGCCAUCCUUGGGGAAAGUCUGUCUGGCAUUAAGUUGUCGGGCGGAGGAUCCUCAUCGUUUACUGUGAAAAAAUUAGAGUGUUCAAAGCAGGCUUAUGCCGUUGAAUAUAUUAGCAUGGAAUAAUAAGAUAGGACUUUGGUACUAUUUUGUUGGUUUGCGCACCAAAGUAAUGAUUAAUAGGGACAGUUGGGGGUAUUCGUAUUCCGUUGUCAGAGGUGAAAUUCUUGGAUUUACGGAAGACGAACUACUGCGAAAGCAUUUACCAAGGAUGUUUUCAUUAA
rnacentral:rRNA from 1 species